GAUAACUAGAGACUUUCAGAGGCAUGUGGAAUUCUGUGUGUAGGGGUAAAAUCCGUAGAUACACAGAGGAACACCAAAAGCGAAGGCAGCAUGCUGGGAAAGUUCUGACGGUCAGGGACGAAAGCGUAGGUAGCGAACGGGAUUAGAUACCCCGGUAGUCUACGCCGUAAACGAUGGAUACUAGGUGUUGGAGGUCUCAACCCCUUCAGUGCCGACGCAAACGCAUUAAGUAUCCCGCCUGGGGAGUACGGUCGCAAGAUUAAAACUCAAAGGAAUAGACGGGGACCCACACAAGCGGUGGAGCAUCUGGCUUAAUUCGAUAAUGAGCGAGGAACCUCACCUGGACUUGACAUCUCGGGAAUUCCUUAGAAAUAGAGAAGUGCCUUCUGGAACCCGAUGACAGGUGCUGCAUGGUUGUCGUCAGCUCGUGCCUUGAGGUGUUCGGUUAAGUCCGUAAACGAGCGCAACCCACGUCCUGUGUUGUAUUUUUCACAGGAGACUGCCUAGCAUAACUAGGAGGAAGGUAUGGAUGACGUCAAAUCAGCAUGGCCCUUAUGUCCAGGGCUGCACAGGUGCUACAAUGGGCAAUACAAUGGGUAGCAAUAUCGCAAGAUGGAGCCAAUCCUUAAAAUUGUUCUAAGUUNGAAUCGAGAGCUGCAAUUCGCUCUCGUGAAGUUGGAUCGCUAGUACCGCGCAUCAGCAA
rnacentral:rRNA from 1 species